GAAAGAGAACCUGAAACCGUGUGCCUACAAGUAGUCAGAGCCCGUUAACGGGUAAUGGCGUGCCUUUUGUAGAAUGAACCGGCGAGUUGCUGGCUGACGCAGACCCGAAACCAAGUGACCUACCCAUGACCAGGUUGAAGGCGCGGUAAAACGCGCUGGAGGACCGAACCCACGUAAGUUGAAAAUUGCGGGGAUGAGUUGUGGGUAGCGGUGAAAUUCCAAACGAACUUGGAGAUAGCUGGUUCUCUCCGAAAUAGCUUUAGGGCUAGCCUCGCAAAGAGGAUGCUGGAGGUAGAGCUCUGUUUGGACUAGGGGCCCGUCAAGGGUUACUGAAUUCAGAUAAACUGCGAAUUCCAGACAUUUAUGUGCGGGAGUCAGACUGCGAGUGAUAAGAUCCGUAGUCGAAAGGGAAACAGCCCAGAUCACCAGUUAAGGUCCCAAAAUUCAUGCUAAGUGGAAAAGGAUGUGGAGUUGCGCAGACAACUAGGACGUUGGCUCAGAAGCAGCCAUCAUUCAAAGAGUGCGUAAUAGCUCACUAGUCGAGUGACGCCGCGCCGAAAAUUUACCGGGGCUAAGCAUGAUACCGAAACUGUGGAUGUGCGUUUAUGCACGUGGUAGGAGAGCGUUCUAGCGGCGGUGAAGCAUGAC
rnacentral:rRNA from 1 species